GAGAAGAGAGUUCACAGUGCAUAUUAAAGUAUGGAAACACUCUCUCAGUGAAAGUGUGUGUGAGAGUGUGUAGGUGUGUGUUAUUAUCAGGGUCAGAGAAUGAC